GAUGAAGAACGCAGCGAAAUGCGAUAAGUAAUGUGAAUUGCAGAAUUCAGUGAAUCAUCGAAUCUUUGAACGCACAUUGCGCCCGCCAGUAUUCUGGCGAGCAUGCCUGUUCGAGCGUCAUUUCAACCAUCAAGCCCCAGGCUUGUGUUGGAGCCCUGCGGCUGCCGCAGCCACCCAAAACCAGUGGCGGGCUCGCUAUCACACCGAGUGCAGUAGUUUACUCUUCGCUCAGGGCGUGUGGCGGGUGCUAGCCGUGAAACCCCCAACUUCUCAAGGUUGACCUCGGAUCAGGUAGGAAUACCCGCUGAACUUAAGCAUAUCAAUAAGCGGAGGA
rnacentral:misc_RNA from 1 species